AAUAAAAAUGGGAAAACUGUGACCUUGUAUUGACCUUAUCUACAAUGCCCUAGAUGAUUCUAGAAUUUUCCGAGAAGCCGCAUGAAAAUAGGCAAUAAUAAGGUCCUUUCGCGGGUUUUCAGAGUCAGUAGUGAGCUAACCUCUUGAGUGACAGUACACAGUGACAAGAAUUCCCAAGGCGUUUUAAAGUUUUACGGAAAUAUCCUCUGGGCUGGGAAAACCGUUUGGGGACAUUUGACUCCAUUAUCUCUUUCGUUCCACGUGUGAGCUCUUGUUUCUGUACCGCCACUGCAUUUUGCAAAUCCACAUCAAAUUAGAAAGCUGCUACGCGUUGAAAACACAUUUUCAUACUGUCAGGGAUAAGUGCAAGACGUUCGUUCUAGUCACGCCGUACGAACCGCAAA